rnacentral:rRNA from 1 species
GCCAACGUUCAUAUCACGUUGAAUACACCAGUUCUCGUCCGAUCACUGAAGUUAAGCAACGUUGAGCGUGGAUAGUACUUGAAACAAAGUCAGGUAAGGCGAUAUCC